rnacentral:rRNA from 1 species
AUUGAACGCUGGCGGCAGGCCUAACACAUGCAAGUCGAGCGGAUGAAGGGAGCUUGCUCCUGGAUUCAUCGGCGGCCGGGUGAGUAAUGCCUAGAAAUCUGCCUGGUAGUGCGGGAUAACGUCCGGAAACGGGCGCUAAUACCGCAUACGUCCUGAGGGAGAAAGUGGGUGAUCUUCCGAUCUCACGCUAUCAGAUGAGCCUGGUUCGGAUUAGCUAGUUGGGGGGGUAACGGCCUACCAAGGCGACUCGCCGAAACUGGUCUUAGGGGAUGAUCAGUAACAGGGGAAAGGGGAAAAGCACCCAACCCGGACGGGAGAAACAGUGGGGAAUAUUGGACGAGGGGCGAGAGCCUGAUCCAGCCAUGCCGCGGGAGUGAAGAAGGUCUUCUGAUGGGAAAGCAAUUUAAGUUGGGAGGAAGGACAGUAAGUUAAUACCUUGCUGUUUUGACGUUACCAACAGAAUAAGCACCGGCUAACUUCGUG